GACGAACGCUGGCGGCGUGCUUAACACAUGCAAGUCGAACGGAAAGGCCCUGCUUUUGUGGGGUGCUCGAGUGGCGAACGGGUGAGUAACACGUGAGUAACCUGCCCUUGACUUUGGGAUAACUUCAGGAAACUGGGGCUAAUACCGGAUAGGAGCUCCUGCUGCAUGGUGGGGGUUGGAAAGUUUCGGCGGUUGGGGAUGGACUCGCGGCUUAUCAGCUUGUUGGUGGGGUAGUGGCUUACCAAGGCUUUGACGGGUAGCCGGCCUGAGAGGGUGACCGGCCACAUUGGGACUGAGAUACGGCCCAGACUCCUACGGGAGGCAGCAGUGGGGAAUAUUGCACAAUGGGCGGAAGCCUGGUGCAGCAACGCCGCGUGCGGGAUGACGGCCUUCGGGUUGUAAACCGCUUUCGCCUGUAACGAAGCGUGAGUGACGGUAAUGGGUAAAGAAGCACCGGCUAACUACGUG
rnacentral:rRNA from 1 species